rnacentral:rRNA from 1 species
UACGAAGGGGGCUAGCGUUGUUCGGAAUUACUGGGCGUAAAGCGCACGUAGGCGGUUUCUUAAGUCAGGGGUGAAAUCCUGGAGCUCAACUCCAGAACUGCCUUUGAUACUGGGAGACUUGGAGUCCGGGAGAGGUGAGUGGAACUGCGAGUGUAGAGGUGAAAUUCGUAGAUAUUCGCAAGAACACCAGUGGCGAAGGCGGCUCACUGGCCCGGUACUGACGCUGAGGUGCGAAAGCGUGGGGAGCAAACAGG